AGAAAAGAAACAGGAACAAGAACAAGACUACCAAUUAAAAGCCUGCUAGUAAACUCAGAGAAAGGAAAACAAGAAAAAGCACACUGUCACCCUGUUAUGAAAGAACUAUACAAUACCAAUGCCAGAGAAAGGCAUCAUGAAUUAAUUGAAUUUAAGGAAUAUAAAAGAAGAGGAAUUAGAAUAUCCAAGGAUAUGUUACAGGCGACAAUCAAAAGGGCGGCAGGGAAUGAAAUGAAAUAAAUAAGAUGAAUGGACAAUGACGGAACGAAAGAAUGAACAAAUGGACAAACAAUUGAUCAGCGACGUUAUCAAUUCAAGAAGUUAAAGGAAUGAAGUAAAUACAAAAGCGUAAGUAUAAAAUGAAAGCUGCGGCCAGCAUAAUGUAAAC